rnacentral:lncRNA from 10 species
GUUGUUGUUGUUGUUUGUUUUUGUGUUUGUUUUUGAGAGGGAGUCUCGCUGUGUUGCCCAGGCUGGAGUGCAGUGGCACGAUCUCGGCUCACCACAACUGCCGCCUCCCGGGUUCAAGUGAUUCUCCUGCCUCAGCCUCCUGAGUAGCUGGGAUUACAGGCGCCUGCCCCCACGCCUGGCAAAUGUUUGUAUUUUUAGUAGAGACAAGGUUUCACCAUGUUGGCAAGGCUGGUCUUGAACUCCUGACCUCAGGUGACCCACCCUCCUCGGCCUCCAAAAGUGCUGGGAUUACAGGCGUGAGCCACUGCACCCAGCCAACUUUUUUUUUUUUUAAGAGACAGGGUUUUUACUAUGUUGUGCAGGCUGGACUUGAACUCCCAGUCUCAGGUGGUCCUCCUGCCUCAGCCUCCUUAUGCCUGGAAGAAAUAAACACAGAAUCACAGAAACAGUCUGUGGUCUGUGUCUUUCUCCAAAGAUAAUUCUGAGGGCUUCGACUAUUCUCUUGUUCACAGGCACAGAAUGUUAUCUUACUCAUGGAGUUCUUUUAGAGAUCAUUACUACCAAAAAUAUAGGGCCUCUUAAUCAGAUGAACACAAAGUAGUAAGAAGCACUGUGUACCCCAGGCAUAUGUACAGUUAUUAUUUGUGGAUUAAAAAUAAAAUUUCUGGCCGGGUGCAGUGGCUCACGCCUGUAAUCCCAGCACUUUGGGAGGCCGAGGAGGGCGGAUCAUGAGGUCAG